GUCCCGGGCGGGCGGGGGAGCGGAGAGCGGCCCCUCGGGCCUCACGGCUCUCAGCCCGGGCCCUGGCAGCGGGGGGCCCCUGUGAAAAACAAUAUGGGACCAUGUAAUUAAAGACUAUCAUAAUGAGAUGAGCCGCAGGCCUACUUAAAGGUCACGGACAGAUGUAGUUGAUGUUUCCUGUGUUUUGAAGUAACGGGCUUUGCAACGUGACAGUAUUUUUGAAUGUUUGUCAGCAGUGAAGACAUUAUCAUUGACCUCUCCACUGAGAUGAAAUUGCUGCUGGUCUCAUAAGCAAGUGACUGGAUGAAGCUUCUAUUUUGAGAUUCCAACACAGAGCUGGUGUGAACGCACUCACUAUCUGUGCUGAGCCUGAAGUGUCCAUAGAAAAUCUAUUCUGAAUUUUGAGAAAACCAUUAUACCUGGACAUUUAUUGGUAUAGUACUAGUAGUAAUAGUAAUGUGAUAGUAUUGUAUACUAUUUUAAUAGUCUGUUUUAUUGAAGUAUCACUAUCUGUGCAGACCAGCCUGCAGCCUGCCUUCCUGGCUGCAGGGUACUAAAGCCUCAGUACACAACUCUGAGCUCUCCCCUGCCCAUCUUCCCAGCAGAACAUGCAAAUACAAUGUGCUGUCUCUGUUGCUUGCUGUUCACAUAUCCUUUCCCACUUUUAAGGAUUAUUCCAGCUGUUACCUGGGAAGAAAAAACCUUCCUUUGCCCUGUGGUCUUUGCAGUUCUCUUGGGACCUCCAUUCAUGUGGCCCGGGAAAAAGGAAGGCUGAGAAUGUAUUUUAUAGGCAAUUGGAAAAAAAUGCCAGGAUAAAAAUUAAAUAUACAAAACAACUGGUGUUUUGGGGUUUUUCCCAUUCUCACUGACCAUCUUCAGAGAGUCCUCUGGAGAUGUGCAGCUGAAGAGCGAGCCACUCAAAGCAGUGGCUGCUGUUUUUCUAGCUGCUGAUAUUUCUAGCCCUGCUGCUGGCCUCAGGAGAACUGUGAUGGGGCUCCUCAGCUAUAAGCUACCAGCAGCAACCUUCCAGCUAUUGGGAAUAAUCUUUGGUGAGUGAUACAGCAACCAAUCCAGGUCAAGUUUUGUGUAUAGGAGGUAUUUUAACAUAACCCUACUUCUUGUCAGAUGAAAAGUUGCUAUAAUUUCUAGGGUCCCCUGCCCCUCUGCCACUACUGUCUGCUCACAGCAGCCAGGGGGACAGGGGAGUUAGAUUAGCUUGCCAAAGAAGAUCCUAAAAACGAGGCUCUUUCCCUUAGCUGAGAUGGCAGUUUCAGCUUUAUUUCUUGGGAUCCUUCGGGGUGAGAUGGCAGGAGGGAAAGAGGAAGAGGUAUCGAUAAGCAGUCCUUUUUGAAGACGGGGGAAAAGGGUGGGGGGAAUUUACACAACCAAUAAGGGGAACUGGGGAGAACAAGAUAAGGGAAAGAAACUUACAGUUCUGCAUUUUUGGGUCAUACCAUUUUUCCUAACUGCAUUACAACAAAAAGUAUUUUGUCUUUCCCUGGGAAGGAUGGGUGGUUUGGUUUUUAUUCUCCUAGGAAUACAUUUUUUUCCUAGCUGUGUACAAUACAAGAUAUAGGUAGAUAAUGAGAUAAAAAUGUUGGAUAUUCCUCUCUUCCUCCCUCACUCUUAUCUUGUUUUGACCACUUGCACUGUAAACUCAGGUCGGGGAUUCUUUCCCACUAUGUGCAUGCAUAGUACACUUCAAAUACUUGGAUGGGAGAAGGGUAUAGUAAUGUCACAUGCCCUGGAGCAAUUUUGACACAAGGAGCUCUAGGGGAAGGCUGGCUGCAGUCCUGGUCGUUAUCCAGAGCAGCGUCAUGGGCUCAUCAUGAGUUUGUAAGUAAACAAAAGUCUUACAGAUGGCUGAAUCCAUUCCCUCACCCUUAGGCAGAGUGAGAUUUUCCUCAGCAUAUCCAAAGAUAUUGAGCUAUUCCUGCUGUGCAAAGUCAGCAGCCAAAAAGAACAUCCCCCAGCCCCACAGAUCAUCAAGUCCCAAGGGUGUAGGUUGAGCCUGUGACUGCCAACCAAAGCCAUGAUGAAGUCCACAGGAGGUCGUGAUGGGGUCCUGGGAAAGAAGAGUUCUUGCUUUGAGCAGAGGCUGCAGUCUCUGAGGGACAAUCUUCAAAGAAACAAGCCUGAUUUAUGCUUUUGAAAAUAAAUUAUAUUUAAAACAAUGCUAUGGUCAGUCUCACUA